CGAAGACUUCUUCUGGAGCAGCAUUGAGCUUGCCCAUAAGAACACAUGAAAAAGAAGACCUGGCAAGGAUUCAGGAAGCAGCAGCGCGAGAUGCCCGUGCCUCUGCUAGACAUGAGCAUGGAUCAGCUUCUCAAGGAACAUGUUGGGAGCCUGCUCAACCUUUGCAUGUGUCACCUUGAGAAGAGAACCGC